GACGAACGCUGGCGGCGUGCUUAACACAUGCAAGUCGAACGGAAAGGCCCUGCUUUUGUGGGGUGCUCGAGUGGCGAACGGGUGAGUAACACGUGAGUAACCUGCCCUUGACUUUGGGAUAACUUCAGGAAACUGGGGCUAAUACCGGAUAGGAGCUCCUGCUGCAUGGUGGGGGUUGGAAAGUUUCGGCGGUUGGGGAUGGACUCGCGGCUUAUCAGCUUGUUGGUGGGGUAGUGGCUUACCAAGGCUUCGACGGGUAGCCGGCCUGAGAGGGUGACCGGCCACAUUGGGACUGAGAUACGGCCCAGACUCCUACGGGAGGCAGCAGUGGGGAAUAUUGCACAAUGGGCGGAAGCCUGAUGCAGCAACGCCGCGUGCGGGAUGACGGCCUUCGGGUUGUAAACCGCCUUCGCCUGUGACGAAGCGUGAGUGACGGUAAUGGGUAAAGAAGCACCGGCUAACUACGUG
rnacentral:rRNA from 1 species